AUUUAAACAGAUAUUCCGACAUCUAACGGAACGGCCUCAUAUCUAAAGGGGGCAAUCUGCAUUUUAAAGGGACGUGGACAUUUUAACAGAUGCGAUCCAUGUCUGCGGGCAGGACACGACUGUCUCCAGGAGAGAGUCUCUCUGGUCACCCCGUCCAUACUCCUUGGAAUGAUUCGGCUCCCUACUCAGUCCACAUCCACUACAUGACCGAAGCAAUGAUACUUGAACUAAGAGGAGGGACAUGUGGGGGAUCGCCUAUCACUUCAUCUUUCUGAUCAUGUACAACAUCCUGAUGGGGAAAGCCACUAAGUAUGGAUGCGACCAGGAAUGAUCAGAGAUUAUCCACCACCCAUGCUGAGGAGAUGUCGUCCAGUGCACCGGAACAGACGCCUUUGACGUGUGGGACGUGAUGAAGAUUGAUUAUUGCAAUGGACUCUUACAUCAGAAAGACCAGAUGGUCCAUCUGGACAGUAGAAAUCAGUGGCAGUUACCAUGUUGUUACCAUUUUUUAAAAUUUUACCUGCAGACACAAGCCUAGUGAGGAUAAAAAUGAUCAACCCCGUUAUUAUGGUAAAUAUUUUAAGGGCGCCCAGGAAUACCAUCCCUUUUUGCAGGACGGGCCGACUCGAGAAAAGAGAAGCCUGAUAGGGGAAACUCCACAAUCCACAAACAACUGAUUUAUACAGGCCCACAGAACGCUCUUCACCCCAGAGGCAGUAGUAUGUUACUCCUCUCUAUCGGGAGAUGACUUACUUGCCCUGUCCCCAGUCCCCGAUUCCAUUCUAUUCGUCAGACUUGCUACUGCCGACCCUGUGAAGAGAAAUAUCACUUUCCAAUAGCUCCGGUCUGUGUAUACAAACAGCUGGUGUAACACUAGCUGGGGUACAGCAGGCCUUAUGUGGCACAUGGAUCUGGAACAGACUGGGUGACAAUACAGGACACCCAAUAGGAUGCAGAAUCCAGAAUACCUUGAGGUUGGAAGGUUCGGCAGGGGUGACAAGUCAAAAGAACCGCAAUUCCCUCUUUUGUGGCCUGACCAUUCGAGAAAAUAAGACUAAAGAGGCUCUGGAACAGAGUAAAGUGGGAUUAUCAGACCUGUGUCUUUACUCUAUGCAGAAUCGGUAUGCCUUAGACUAUAUACUCGCCCGGGAGGGUGAGGUCUGCACCAUUGUCCAAGAUAAAUGCACUAUGGGCAUUCCUGAUCUCACUGGCAAUAUUACUAAGAUACAAGAAGAGAUCUAGGUAUUCCUUGACAGAAUGACUGAAGAGACCAGUUGGGGAAACUGCAGAUUGGGCUCAUGGUACAAUUGGCUUAUCAAUUUAGCCAUGUAUGGUAGAAUACUUUUCCUCUGUUUGUCAGUAUUGCUCUUGUUAGGUGUUUAAUUGUUAAACUUAUGAGGUCCCUUAGUGAUAUAGAUUUGUCCCAGAAGAUGCUCCUUUUGCGUUCCGAUGGCUCACCCACACAUGUCGAUGGUGAUGAUAAAUAUGACCAGAUGAGCUGCGAAGAUGGUGGUGCCGCUCUACAGGAUGUUGAUGGCUGGACCACCUUGAAGGGCAUUCAUUUGGACUAGCCUUCUCUUUCAGUGAUCGCGGUGCAAUCAAAUGCAGGAAUGAGGGUGUGG